CAGUGCCUUUAAACAUACACUCUAAAAAAUGCUGGGUUAUUUUUUCAACCCAAACGCUGGGUUGAGGCUGUUGGGUCAUUUUGUUUGGUUGUUUUUACUCAUAUUGGGUCAUUUCUGUAACCCAGCUUGCUGGGUUGAUAGUUUAUCACUGCUGGGUUGAUAGUUUAGGGCUGUGCUGCCUCCUGUCCCCACCUGACGUGGAGUACACUACCCAGCACCAGGGUGACUUCAACACAGCUGCAUAGUUACUUGAAGGUUGAGGGAAAAAAAAUCGUCAGGCAGGCAGGCAGGCAUAUUCUUUCAACCGUCAAGUCCAGCAGCUGUCAAAAUGCAAUGGAAAUCAGGUGAUUUCGGAAGGGCUGACCCCCAAAACGGACUUUGGAAUCUGCCUGCCUUCAUGGAAGUGUCACAAGCAUUUUAUACUAGGCUAUCUAUU